GUAGGGAGCAAGCGUUGUUCGGAAUUAUUGGGCGUAAAGAGCGCGUAGGCGGUUCGGUAAGUCAUGACGUGAAAUCCCGGAGCUUAACUCCGGAACUGCGUUGGAUACUGCCGGGCUUGAGUGUGGGGGAGGAGAGUGGAAUUCCCGGUGUAGAGGUGAAAUUCGUAGAUAUUGGGAGGACACCCGUGGCGAAGGCGACUCUCUGGACCAAUACUGACGCUGAGGCGCGAAAGCGUGGGGAGCAAACAGGAUUAGAUACCCUGGUAGUCCACGCUGUAAACGAUGAGCACUAGGUGUAGCGGGUAUUUGACCCUGCUGUGCCGUAGCUAACGCAUUAAGUGCUCCGCCUGAGUACGCCGCAAGGCUUA
rnacentral:rRNA from 1 species